GGCCUUAACAAACACCUCGAUAUCUCUGUUUCCAGGCUUCCUUGCGUUAUGUACGAGCGAUGUUAUGAUAGUAUGAAGAUCCAUGUAACUUUUGUUCUCUAUAAGGAAAGACGGUAAAAGUAAGAGAAAGGUCAGUUAUGAGUGAUAUUAAUAAACUUUUUUUCUUAAGCGGGUCUCCUUCCAACUGCCAGCCUCGUGCUAGAAUGACCUCAACAAACACCUCCAUAUCUCUGUUUCCAGGCCUCCUUGCGUUAUGUACGAGCGAUGUUAUGAUAGUAUGAAGAUCCAUGUAACUUUUGUUCUCUAUAAGGAAAGACGGUAAAAGUAAGAGAAAGGUCAGUUUUGAGUGAUAUUAAUAAACUUUUUUUCUUAAGCGGGUCUCCUUCCAGCUGCCUGCCUCGUGCUAGUAUGACCUCAACAAACACCUCCAUAUCUCUGUUUCCAGGCCUCCUUGCGUUAUGUACGGACGAUGAUAUGAUAGUAUAAACAUCCAUGUAACUUUCGUUCUCUAUAAGGAAAGACGGUAAAGGUACGAGAAAGGUCAGUUAUGAGUGAUAUUAAUAAACUUUUUUUGCUAGCGGCUGGGCGGGUUGUAUGAAUGACGGGAGAUUCGCUUCCCCGCCAACCCGGAUAAAGUUACUGUUCUAAAUACACUCAUAUCUCUGCUUCCAUUGCUCCUAGCGUCGUAUACUAGAUGGCUAAUAAUAAAAGGAAGAUUUGCCAUACUUAAGGUGUAUCGGGGAGGCGGGGAAGAGUAGGAAGAGGAUAAGAAAAAAUUCGUUAAACAUUUAGCUUCCACAAGACAAGGGUCGAGACGGUGCAGGUCGAGCUUGGGGAAACUGAAUUUACUCACUAUUACAAAUUACAUCAUAUCUCUGUUUCCAGUUGACCCAUUACAAUAAACGAACUACCCAACGAUAAUACGAAGAUUUGCACAUCUUUUGGUAUAUCAGAGAAUUGGAAAGAGAGAAGAUAUAUGGUAGAAAUUAGUGAUAGAAAUUGACAGCUUGCAAGAGGAGGGUGGCGCCAAAUAUUGUCAAAAAAAAAAGUUACAAAUUACACUAUAUCUCAGUUUCUAGUAGUCCAAUUUCAAUGACCGAACUACUCAACGAUAAUACGAAGAAUUGCGCAACUUUUGGUAUAUAAGAGAUUUGGAUAGAUCGAAAAAAUGAGGUAAAAAUUAGUGAUAGAAGUUGACGGCUUGCAAGAGGGUGAUGACGCUAAAUAUAGGCUUACAUUUUUUUUUUUGCAACAAAGGAGGCAGCUCAAGGGCACAAUAAAAAAAAACAAUAAUGAAAAAAAGCCCGCUAAUCGCUGCUCCCAUAAAAGACUCAGAAGAGGUCAAAUUACAAAUUACAUCAUAUCUCAGUUUCUAUUGGACACAUUACAAUAAGCGAACUACCAAGCGACGAUACUACGAAGAAUUGCGCUUCUUUUGGUAUAUAAGAGAUUUGGAUAGAGAGAAGAUAUAUAGUAGUUAUUAGUGAUAGAAAUUGACAGCUUGCAAGAGGAGGGUGGCGCCAAAUAUUGUCUAAAAAAAAGAAGUUACAAAUUACACUAUAUCUCAGUUUCUAGUAGUCCAAUUUCAAUGACCGAACUACCCAACGAUACUACGAAGAAUUGCGCAACUUUUGGUAUAUAAGAGAUUUGGAUAGAUCGAAGAAAUAAGGUAAAAAUUAGUGAUAGAAGUUGACGGCUUGCAAGAGGGUGAUGACGCUAAAUAUAGGCUUACAUUUUUUUUUUUUUUGCAACAAAGGAGGCAGCUCAAGGGCACAAUAAAAAAACAAUAAUAAAAAAAGCCCGCUAAUCGCUGCUCCCAUAAAAGAAUCAGAAGAGGUGGCCAAAAGCAAGGUCAAAUUACAUCAUAUCUCAGUUUCUAUUGGACACAUUACAAUAAACGAACUACCAAACGACGAUACUACGAAGAAUUGCGCUUCUUUUGGUAUAUAAGAGAUUUGGAUAGAGAGAAGAUAUAUGAUAGAA